GUUAUCGUUUAUUUGAUAGUACCUUACUACUUGGAUAACCGUGGUAAUUCUAGAGCUAAUACAUGCUAAAAAUCCCGACUUCGGAAGGGAUGUAUUUAUUAGAUUAAAAACCAAUGCCCUUCGGGGCUCCUUGGUGAUUCAUGAUAACUCCUCGAAUCGCAUGGCCUUGUGCCGGCGAUGGUUCAUUCAAAUUUCUUCCCUAUCAACUUUCGAUGUUUGGGUAUUGGCCAAACAUGGUUGCAACGGGUAACGGAGGGUUAGGGCUCGACCCCGGAGAAGGAGCCUGAGAAACGGCUACUACAUCCAAGGAAGGCAGCAGGCGCGCAAAUUACCCAAUCCCGACACGGGGAGGUAGUGACAAUAAAUACUGAUACAGGGCUCUUUUGGGUCUUGUAAUUGGAAUGAGUGCAAUUUAAAUCCCUUAACGAGGAACAAUUGGGGGGCAAGUCUGGUGCCAGCAGCCGCGGUAAUUCCAGCUCCAAUAGCGUAUAUUAAAGUUGUUGUGGUUAAAAAGCUCGUAGUUGAACCUUGG
rnacentral:rRNA from 1 species